rnacentral:rRNA from 1 species
AUUGAACGCUGGCGGCAUGCCUUACACAUGCAAGUCGAACGGUAGAGGAGCAAUCCUCGAGAGUGGCGAACGGGUGAGUAAUGCAUCGGAACGUGCCCAGUAAUGGGGGAUAGCCCGGCGAAAGCCGGAUUAAUACCGCAUACGACCUAAGGGUGAAAGAGGGGGAUCGCAAGACCUCUCGUUAUUGGAGCGGCCGAUGUCAGAUUAGGUAGUUGGUGGGGUAAAGGCCUACCAAGCCAACGAUCUGUAGCUGGUCUGAGAGGACGACCAGCCACACUGGGACUGAGACACGGCCCAGACUCCUACGGGAGGCAGCAGUGGGGAAUUUUGGACAAUGGGCGCAAGCCUGAUCCAGCCAUGCCGCGUGCGGGAAGAAGGCCUUCGGGUUGUAAACCGCUUUUGUCAGGGAAGAAAUCUUCUGGGUUAAUACCUCGGGAGGAUGACGGUACCUGAAGAAUAAGCACCGGCUAACUACGUGCCAGCCGCCGCGGUAA